rnacentral:rRNA from 1 species
CAGUAGCCGCGGUAAGACAGAGGAUGCAAGCGUUAUCCGGAAUGAUUGGGCGUAAAGGGCUCGCAGGCGGUUUCUUAAGUCUGAUGUGAAAGCCCCCGGCUCAACCGGGGAGGGUCAUUGGAAGCUGGGAAACUUGAGUGCAGAAGAGGAGAGUGGAAUUCCACGUGUAGCGGUGAAAUGCGUAGAUAUUCGCAAGAACACCGGUGGCGAAGGCGGCUCACUGGCCCGGUACUGACGCUGAGGCACGAAAGCGUGGGGAGCAAACAGGAUUAGAUACCCCAGUAGUCCCUGUCUCUUAUAC